UACACGACCGUACCGCAAACCGACACUGGUGCGCGAGAUGAGUAUUCUAAGGCGCUUGAGAGAACUCAGGAGAAGGAACUCGGCAAAUUGACACCGUAACUUCGGAAGAAGGUGUGCCUUUAGUAGGUGAAGUCCCUCGCGGAUGGAGCCCAAUGAGGUUGCAAAAAAUCGGUGGCUGCGACUGUUUAUUAAAAACACUGCACUCUGCAAACACGAAAGUGGACGUAUAGGGUGUGACGCCUGCCCGGUGCUGGAAGAUUAAAUGAUGGGGUGCAAGCUCUUGAUUGAAGUCCCAGUAAACGGCGGCCGUAACUAUAACGGUCCUAAGGUAGCGAAAUUCCUUGUCGGGUAAGUUCCGACCUGCACGAAUGGCGUAACGAUGGCCACACUGUCUCCUCCUGAGACUCAGCGAAGUUGAAAUGUUUGUGAUGAUGCAAUCUCCCCGCGGAAAGACGGAAAGACCCCAUGAACCUUUACUGUAGCUUUGUAUUGGACUUUGAACAGAUCUGUGUAGGAUAGGUGGGAGGCUUUGAAGCAGGGUCGCUAGAUCUUGUGGAGCCAACGUUGAAAUACCACCCUGGUGUGUUUGAGGUUCUAACCUAGGUCCAUUAUCUGGAUCGGGGACAGUGCAUGGUAGGCAGUUUGACUGGGGCGGUCUCCUCCCAAAGCGUAACGGAGGAGCUCGAAGGUACGCUAGUUACGGUCGGACAUCGUGACGAUAGUGCAAUGGCAUAAGCGUGCUUAACUGCGAGACUGACAAGUCGAGCAGAUGCGAAAGCAGGACAUAGUGAUCCGGUGGUUCUGUAUGGAAGGGCCAUCGCUCAACGGAUAAAAGGUACUCUGGGGAUAACAGGCUGAUACCGCCCAAGAGUUCAUAUCGACGGCGGUGUUUGGCACCUCGAUGUCGGCUCAUCUCAUCCUGGGGCUGUAGCCGGUCCCAAGGGUAUGGCUGUUCGCCAUUUAAAGAGGUACGUGAGCUGGGUUUAAAACGUCGUGAGACAGUUUGGUCCCUAUCUUCCGUGGGCGCUGCAGAUUUGAGGAAGCCUGCUCCUAGUACGAGAGGACCGGAGUGGACACACCUCUGGUGUAUCGGUUGUCACGCCAGUGGCAUUGCCGAGUAGCUAAGUGUGGAAGAGAUAACCGCUGAAAGCAUCUAAGCGGGAAACUCGUUUCAAGAUGAGAUCUGCCGGGGCCUUGAGCCCCCUGAAGAGUCGUUCAAGACCAGGACGUUAAUAGGCAGGGUGUGGAAGCGCAGUAAUGCGUUAAGCUAACCUGUACUAAUUGCUCGUGCGACUUGACCGC
rnacentral:rRNA from 1 species